rnacentral:rRNA from 1 species
UACGUAGGGUGCGAGCGUUGUCCGGAAUUAUUGGGCGUAAAGGGCUCGUAGGCGGUUUGUCGCGUCGGGAGUGAAAACCCAGGGCUUAACCCUGGGCUGGCUUUCGAUACGGGCAGACUAGAGGUAUGCAGGGGAGAACGGAAUUCCAGGUGUAGCGGUGAAAUGCGUAGAUAUCUGGAGGAACACCGGUGGCGAAGGCGGCAUCCUGGACCGACAUUGACGCUGAGGCGCGAAAGCCAGGGGAGCAAACGGG